UACGUAGGGGGCAAGCGUUGUCCGGAAUCAUUGGGCGUAAAGCGCGUGUAGGCGGCCCGGUAAGUCCGCUGUGAAAGUCCAGGGCUCAACCCUGGGAUGCCGGUGGAUACUGUCGGGCUCGAGUCCGGAAGAGGAGUGUGGAAUUCCUGGUGUAGCGGUGAAAUGCGCAGAUAUCAGGAGGAACACCGGUGGCGAAGGCGGGUUUCUGGGCAGUAACUGACGCUGAGGAGCGAAAGCGUGGGGAGCGAACAGG
rnacentral:rRNA from 1 species